rnacentral:rRNA from 1 species
GAUGAACGCUGGCGGCGUGCCUAACACAUGCAAGUCGAACGGAGAUUACGGACGGAAGUUUUCGGAUGGAAGACUGUAAUUCUUAGUGGCGGACGGGUGAGUAACGCGUGGGCAACCUGCCCUAUACAGGGGGAUAGCAGCUGGAAACGGCUGGUAAGCCCCCAUAAUUCGGUAAAAUCGAAUUAUUUUAUCGGGAAAUGAGCAAUCAGUAUAAGGAUGGGCCCGCGUCCGUUUAGCAGGUUGGCAGGGUAAAAGCCUACCAAAGCGACGAUCGGUAGCCGGACUGAGAGGUCGGACGGCCACAUUGGGACUGAGACACGGCCCAAACUCCUACGGGAGGCAGCAGUGGGGGAUAUUGCACAAUGGAGGAAACUCUGAUGCAGCGACGCCGCGUGAGUGAAGAAGUAUUUCGGUAUGUAAAGCUCUAUCAGCAGGGAAGAUGAUGACGGUACCUGACGAAGAAGCCCCGGCUAACUACGUG